rnacentral:lncRNA from 10 species
GUUCCAACAUGGCGGAGCUGACGGUGGAGGUUCGCGGCUCUAACGGGGCUUUCUACAAGUCAAUUCACAAUGAAUCAAAUGUCCCCAUUUUGGAACUCUGAAGUAUUUAUAAUUGAUCUCUAUACAUAUCUACAAUCUACUGCUUGUUUCUACUUAGACUUUGACUCCAUUACUCAUUUUGCCUCACAAAGUGAGUUGGUACUUUGACAAAGGUUGGAAAGGACACUAGCCACCUGUGUGUGCACUGAAAUCAUGUACGCUUGAACAUUUGGAAUUUUAUGUCCAGCCAUAAUCCACUUGCAUAUGCACUUUGUGGAAACUGUGGUCUUCAGAACUCUGGAAGAAUGAGAAUGGCGGAGUGGAAAAGAGUCCUGGAUUUGAAGUAAACAGAUGAGAAUUCUAGGCAGAAGACACACAUUUGGCCGCCAUUUAAGCACCCGUCUAAAAAAAAAUGAGUAGAUCUUCAUAGUAAGGUAGGAUCUACAAGACACAAACUGAAGAGAAAAGCGAAGUUCAGAACAAAUUGUAGCAAAU